UGGGGAAUUUUGGACAAUGGGCGAAAGCCUGAUCCAGCAAUGCCGCGUGUGUGAAGAAGGCCUUCGGGUUGUAAAGCACUUUUGUCCGGAAAGAAAUCCUUGGCUCUAAUACAGUCGGGGGAUGACGGUACCGGAAGAAUAAGCACCGGCUAACUACGUGCCAGCAGCCGCGGUAAUACGUAGGGUGCAAGCGUUAAUCGGAAUUACUGGGCGUAAAGCGUGCGCAGGCGGUUUGCUAAGACCGAUGUGAAAUCCCCGGGCUCAACCUGGGAACUGCAUUGGUGACUGGCAGGCUAGAGUAUGGCAGAGGGGGGUAGAAUUCCACGUGUAGCAGUGAAAUGCGUAGAGAUGUGGAGGAAUACCGAUGGCGAAAGGCAGCCCCCCUGGGGCCAAAUACUGACGCUCAUGCACGAAAAGCGUGGGGGAGCAAACAGGAUUAGAUACCCUGGGUAGUCCACGCCCUAAACGAUGUCAACUAGUUGUUGGGGAUUCAUUUCCUUAGUAACGUAGCUAACGCGUGAAGUUGACCGCCUGGGGAGUACGGUCGCAAGAUUAAAACUCAAAUGAAUUGACGGGGUCAUAGCUGUUUCCU
rnacentral:rRNA from 1 species